rnacentral:rRNA from 1 species
UACGUAGGGACCAAGCGUUGUUCGGAUUUACUGGGCGUAAAGGGCGCGUAGGCGGCGCGGUAAGUCACUUGUGAAAUCUCUGAGCUUAACUCAGAACGGCCAAGUGAUACUGCAGUGCUAGAGUGUGGAAGGGGCAAUCGGAAUUCUUGGUGUAGCGGUGAAAUGCGUAGAUAUCAAGAGGAACACCGGAGGUGAAGACGGGUUGCUGGGCCAACACUGACGCUGAGGCGCGAAAGCGUGGGGAGCGAACAGG